AGGGAGUUUGAUCCUGGCUCAGGAUGAACGCUGGCGGCGUGCUUAACACAUGCAAGUCGAACGGAGUGUAAACGCUGAAGCGAUUUCGGUCAAUUCUUGUUUAUACUUAGUGGCGGACGGGUGAGUAACGCGUGGGCAACCUGCCUCAUACUGGGGGAUAACAGUUGGAAACGACUGUUAAUACCGCAUAAGCGCACAGCAUCGCAUGAUGCAGUGUGAAAAACUCCGGUGGUAUGAGAUGGGCCCGCGUCAGAUUAGCUAGUUGGCGGGGUAACGGCCCACCAAGGCGACGAUCUGUAGCCGGACUGAGAGGUCGGACGGCCACAUUGGGACUGAGACACGGCCCAAACUCCUACGGGAGGCAGCAGUGGGGGAUAUUGCACAAUGGAGGAAACUCUGAUGCAGCGACGCCGCGUGAGUGAAGAAGUAUUUCGGUAUGUAAAGCUCUAUCAGCAGGGAAGAAAGGCUCGUAAGAGAGAUGACGGUACCUGACUAAGAAGCCCCGGCUAACUACGUGCCAGCAGCCGCGGUAAUACGUAGGGGGCAAGCGUUAUCCGGAUUUACUGGGUGUAAAGGGAGCGCAGACGGUCAAGCAAGUCUGAAGUGAAACCCCACGGCUCAACCGUGGGCUUGCUUUGGAAACUGUUUGACUAGAGUACUGGAGAGGUAAGCGGAAUUCCUAGUGUAGCGGUGAAAUGCGUAGAUAUUAGGAGGAACAUCGGUGGCGAAGGCGGCUUACUGGACAGCAACUGACGUUGAGGCUCGAAGGCGUGGGGAGCAAACAGGAUUAGAUACCCUGGUAGUCCCCU
rnacentral:rRNA from 1 species